AACGAACGCUGGCGGCAGGCUUAACACAUGCAAGUCGAGCGCCCCGCAAGGGGAGCGGCAGACGGGUGAGUAACGCGUGGGAACGUACCCUUUGCUACGGAAUAGCUCCGGGAAACUGGAAUUAAUACCGUAUGUGCCCUACGGGGGAAAGAUUUAUCGGCAAAGGAUCGGCCCGCGUUGGAUUAGCUAGUUGGUGGGGGAAUGGCCUACAAAGGCGACGAUCCAUAGCUGGUCUGAGAGGAUGAUCAGCCACAUUGGGACUGAGACACGGCCCAAACUCCUACGGGAGGCAGCAGUGGGGAAUAUUGGACAAUGUGCGCAAGCCUGUUCCAGCCAUGCCGCGUGAGUGAUGAAGGCCUUAGGGUUGUAAAGCUCUUUCAGUGGGGACGAUAAUGACGGUACCCACAGAAGAAGCCCCGGCUAACUUCGUGCCAGCAGCCGCCGUAAUAC
rnacentral:rRNA from 1 species